rnacentral:rRNA from 1 species
GCGAACGCUGGCGGCAGGCCUAACACCUGCAAGUCGAACGAACUCUUCGGAGUUAGUGGCGGACGGGUGAGUCACACGUGGGAACGUGCCUUUUGGUUCGGAAUAACUCAGGGAAACUUGUGCUAAUACCGAAUGUGCCCUUCGGGGGAAAGAUUUAUCGCCAUUAGAGCGGCCCGCGUCUGAUUAGCUAGUUGGUGAGGUAACGGCUCACCAAGGCGACGAUCAGUAGCUGGUCUGAGAGGAUGACCAGCCACACUGGGACUGAGACACGGCCCAGGCUCCUACGGGAGGCAGCAGUGGGGAAUCUUGCGCAAUGGGCGAAAGCCUGACGCAGCCAUGCCGCGUGAAUGAUGAAGGUCUUAGGAUUGUAAAAUUCUUUCACCGGGGACGAUAAUGACGGUACCCGGAGAAGAAGCCCCGGCUAACUUCGUG